rnacentral:rRNA from 1 species
UACGUAGGGUGCGAGCGUUGUCCGGAAUUAUUGGGCGUAAAGAGCUUGUAGGCGGUUUGUCGCGUCUGCUGUGAAAACCCGGGGCUCAACCCCGGGCCUGCAGUCGAUACGGGCAGACUAGAGUGCGGUAGGGGAGACUGGAAUUCCUGGUGUAGCGGUGAAAUGCGCAGAUAUCAGGAGGAACACCGAUGGCGAAGGCAGGUCUCUGGGCCGAUACUGACGCUGAGGAGCGAAAGCGUGGGGAGCGAACAGG